rnacentral:lncRNA from 1 species
CUCAGGGAACCUUCUAAUUGCAGUUUAUUUCCCUGAAUCCUGACCUCUCAGUGGUUGACUUCUGUGGAUGGAUUAUCUGUGUCAAUGUUGCUGGAGUGGAAGUGAAGUGCCCGGCUGUGAGAUGGAUGCCGUCACGUCACAUGGAAAUACGAACGCUGUGCAUUCCUUACAGAAAUUCCACAGCUUCUCAGCAGCUUCACGCCUGAAAAGACGGAGUGCUAAUGAUUUAAUUUGCAGACCUUAAGGAAUGUUCUAAUUACAAAGGGUGUUAAGUAUUCU